GUCAUAUCAAGUCAAUACAUCAGUUCUCAUUUGAUCACAGAAGUUAAGCAAUGUUGAGCUUGGUCAGUACCUAGAUGCAUGACUGCUUGGGAAUAUCCGGUGCUGUAA